rnacentral:rRNA from 1 species
AUUGAACGCUGGCGGCAUGCCUUACACACGCAAGUCGAACGGUAGCGGGCCUUCGGGUGCCGACGAGUGGCGAACGGGUGAGUAAUGUAUCGGAACGUACCUUUCAGUGGGGGAUAACGUAGCGAAAGUUACGCUAAUACCGCAUAUUCUGUGCGCAGGAAAGCAGGGGAUCGCAAGACCUUGCGCUAAUUGAGCGGCCGAUAUCAGAUUAGCUAGUUGGUGAGGUAAAGGCUCACCAAGGCGACGAUCUGUAGCGGGUCUGAGAGGAUGAUCCGCCACACUGGAACUGAGACACGGUCCAGACUCCUACGGGAGGCAGCAGUGGGGAAUUUUGGACAAUGGGGGCAACCCUGAUCCAGCCAUGCCGCGUGAGUGAAGAAGGCCUUCGGGUUGUAAAGCUCUUUCGGCCGGGAAGAAAUCGUAUCAGCUAAUACCUGGUGCGGAUGACGGUACCGGCAUAAGAAGCACCGGCUAACUACGUGCCAGCAGCCGCGGUAAAAC